rnacentral:rRNA from 1 species
UACGGAGGGUGCAAGCGUUAUCCGGAUUCACUGGGUUUAAAGGGUGCGUAGGUGGGUUGGUAAGUCAGUGGUGAAAUCCCCGGGCUUAACCUGGGAACUGCAUUUGUGACUGGCGAGCUAGAGUAUGGCAGAGGGGGGUAGAAUUCCACGUGUAGCAGUGAAAUGCGUAGAGAUGUGGAGGAACACCAAUGGCGAAGGCAGCCUUCUGGGCCAACACUGACGCUCAUGCACGAAAGCGUGGGGAGCAACAGG